rnacentral:misc_RNA from 1 species
GAAAUGCGAUAAGUAAUGUGAAUUGCAGAAUUCAGUGAAUCAUCGAAUCUUUGAACGCACAUUGCGCCCGCCAGCACUCUGGCGGGCAUGCCUGUUCGAGCGUCAUUUCAACCAUCAAGCCCCCCGGCUUGUGUUGGGGACCUGCGGCUGCCGCAGGCCCUGAAAAGCAGUGGCGGGCUCGCUGUCACACCGAGCGUAGUAGCAUACAUCUCGCUCUGGGCGUGCUGCGGGUUCCGGCCGUUAAACCACCUUCGUAACCCAAGGUUGACCUCGGAUCAGGUAGGAAGACCCGCUGAACUUAAGC